rnacentral:rRNA from 1 species
AGUACGAGACGCUAAGGCGUCGAAGUAGUGGAUGUCAUACUUCCAAAAAGCUUGCACUGUCAUAAAUAAAAGACGCCUGUACCAUAACCGACACAGGUGGGUAGGUAGAGUAUACUAAGGGGCGCGAGAUAACUCUCUCUAAGGAACUCGGCAAAAUAACUCCGUAACUUCGGGAGAAGGAGUGCCUUAUUCGUAAGGCUGCAAUAACCAGAUCCAAGCAACUGUUUAUCAAAAACACAGGUCUCCGCUAAGUCGUAAGACGAUGUAUGGGGGCUGACGCCUGCCCAGUGCCAGAAGGUUAAAGAAGUCGGUUAGCAUUAGCGAAGCUGGUAACUGAAGCCCUGGUGAACGGCGGCCGUAACUAUAACGGUCCUAAGGUAGCGAAAUUCCUUGUCGGGUAAGUUCCGACCCGCACGAAAGGCGUAAUGAUUUGGAUACUGUCUCGGAGAGGGGCUCGGUGAAAUAGACUUGUCUGUGAAGAUGCGGACUACCUGCACCAGGACAGAAAGACCCUAUGAAGCUUUACUGUAACUUGAAAUUGAAAUUGGACUUUAUUCGCGCAGUAUAGGUGGGAGGUGUUGAUUAUAAUCUUGCGGGAUUAUUGGAGCCAUCAGUGAGAUACCACUCUUGUAAUGUUAGAUUUCUAACUUUGAAUCAUUAUCUGGUCAAAGAACAGUUUCAGGCGGGCAGUUUGACUGGGGCGGUCGCCUCCUAAAUGGUAACGGAGGCGUACAAAGGUUUCCUCUGAACGGGUAGAAAUCGUAUCUAGAGUGUAAAGGCAUAAGGAAGCUUGACUGUGAGACCUACAAGUCGAGCAGGGACGAAAGUCGGUCUUAGUGAUCUGACGGUACUGAGUGGAAAGGCCGUCACUCAACGGAUAAAAGUUACUCUAGGAUAACAGGCUGAUCUCCCCCAAGAGUUCACAUCGACGGGGAGGUUUGGCACCUCGAUGUCGGCUCAUCGCAUCCUGGGGCGGUAGUACGUCCCAAGGGUUGGGCUGUUCGCCCAUGAAAGCGGUACGCGAGCUGGGUUCAGAACGUCGUGAGACAGUUCGGUCCAUAUCCGGUGUAGGCGUUAGAAUAUUGAGAGGAGCCUUCUUUAGUACGAGAGGACCGAGAAGGACAUACCUCUGGUGUACCAGUUAUCGUGCCAACGGUAAACGCUGGGUAGCUAUGUAUGGAGUGGAUAACCGCUGAAAGCAUCUAAGUGGGAAGCCCACCUCAAGAUAAGUAUUCUCAC